UAUCUGCGGUAAAACGCAG
rnacentral:snRNA from 1 species